rnacentral:lncRNA from 10 species
CAGGGAUCUGAGAGCACCUGCUGUCGGGAGCCCACCCCUGUUGGACGCAGAUGAAGAUGCCAAGGGGAGCCUGGCUGACCAUGGAGCCAUCAUGGAGGGAGGCAGAGCUGAGGGCGUGGGGAGGUCCCAGCUGCAUCACAGGAGCCCCUGGAUCCAGCCGCACCUGAAGUUCCAACGUCGCACGGUGGGACUCUGGGCAGGGUCCUCCCUCUCCAUCUUCCCCUCGCUGGGACCCAGCACGGCACAGGAGGGGUGGCCAACACCAUUUAGACAUCAGAACUGUCCAGAGUGUUCUGCCCUCUGUCUUAAGUCACGACCCCGGAUUCCCCAGGCAGCCACACACAGCGGUCUACACCGGGAGAAAGUCGCCGUGAGAACUGUGGCACCGCAGGAGGCUGUGCGUGUUUGCUUUUGUUGAUCUGUUUAACUGCAGCCCUGAUUUAUUCCUGGGGUGGGGGUAGGUUGGUACGGUAGGUGGGUUAGUCUGUGACCAUCAGCAGGCGGUCCUUCAUCCCACUCUGCUUGUUCCCUUGGAUGUAUUUUUCCAGCGUGCACAGGGAACCUCCUUCCUUUUGGUAAGGGAUGCUGAUGGCCUAAUUGAUUGAUUGCUGUUAUUGACCUAGCCCGGCUCCCAGAGGCCUCUGUGUCAGGGCUGCUUGGGAUUUGUUGAGGAAACAUAGCAAGCUGUUCCUCUCAUCGUCAUUUGUCAUCUGUGUCUGAAUGUUCAUGACACGUUUUUGACCUAAGGUACCUGAUCUACAUGACAAAUUAUUUGAGAACAUAAAAUCUGAACUUGAAAUUUUAGCAAGAAGAAAGCCGACGUUCGCUUUUCACCUUCACUUGGG